UACGUAGGGUGCAGGCGUUAAUCGGAAUUACUGGGCGUAAAGCGUGCGCAGGCGGUUUGCUAAGACAGGUGUGAAAUCCCCGGGCUCAACCUGGGAACUGCAUUUGUGACUGCAUGGCUAGAGUACGGUAGAGGGGGAUGGAAUUCCGCGUGUAGCAGUGAAAUGCGUAGAUAUGCGGAGGAACACCGAUGGCGAAGGCAAUCCCCUGGACCUGUACUGACGCUCAUGCACGAAAGCGUGGGGAGCAAACAGG
rnacentral:rRNA from 1 species